rnacentral:rRNA from 1 species
CCUACGGUGCGCAGCAGUCGAGAAUCAUUCACAAUGGGGGAAACCCUGAUGGUGCGACGCCGCGUGGGGGAAUGAAGGUCUUCGGAUUGUAAACCCCUGUCAUGUGGGCGCAAAUUAAAAAGAUAGUACCACAAGAGGAAGAGACGGCUAACUCUGUGCCAGCAGCCGCGGUAAUACAGAGGUCUCAAGCGUUGUUCGGAAUCAUUGGGCGUAAAGCGUGCGUAGGCUGUUUCGUAAGUCGUGUGUGAAAGGCGCGGGCUCAACCCGCGGACGGCACAUGAUACUGCGAGAUUAGAGUAAUGGAGGGGGAACCGGAAUUCUCGGUGUAGCAGUGAAAUGCGUAGAUAUCGAGAGGAACACUCGUGGCGAAGGCGGGUUCCUGGACAUUAACUGACGCUGAGGCACGAAGGCCAGGGGAGCGAAAGGGAUUAGAUACCCUUGUAGUC